rnacentral:lncRNA from 1 species
AGCCGGCCCUCGGCGUCCUCGCGGCUCAGCACCUCCUCUUCAUAGCGCGCCUGCAGGUUGCGCAGGGUCUCCUCCAGCCCUUCGCGCUCGCCCUGGAGCGCCUGCUUCUCGUUGGUGGCAUCUUCCGCCGCCAGGCGCAGGUCGCGGAUCUCCUGCUCGUACAGCGCCCGGAAGCGGGAUGGCUCGGAGUGCUUCUGGCGCAGCACCAGCAGCUCGGCUUCCAGGACCUUGUUCUGCUGCUCCAGCUCGUGCACGCGCUCGAUGAAGCUGGCGAAGCGGUCAUUGAGGUCCUGGAGCUGCGCCUUCUCCUGCGUGCGGAUGGACUUGAGGUCGUUGCUGAUGGCGGCUACCUGGCUCAGGUCGAGGUUCUCCAGACUGGGCAUCAACGAUCCAGAGCUGGAGGAGUAGCUGCGGCGCACGGACAGCGAGGAAGACACCGGCGCCGAGUAGCUGGAGUAAGCUGAGCGUGCGGUGCUGUAGCCGCUGCGCACGCUGGAGAUGUGCACCCGGGGCGUCUCCACGUAGCGCCGCUUGUAGGAGGUCGAGUAGUACGGCUCGUAGCUGAAGGAACUCAUGGUGGCGGCCGGUGGCUCCCCGGCCCGCGGCGGCGGUGGGAGCCCGGAGAGAGAGGACAGGGGAGAGAGGGAAGGGGGAGGAUGGAUGGCUGUGUGCGGCUCGGCGCCGUUCUGCCACCCCUAUUUAUACGCCGGGAGGCUCCUGACGCAGCCUGCGAUCGAUCACGGCACGCCGGCCAGUGGGGGCAGCGCGCUGCUGCAGCCAAGGCGAGGAUUCUGCGCAAAAGGGAAGGCGGGGUCGAGCUACGGCCCGAGGAGCUGCGGCGGUCGUCCUUUCCACUUUGCUCAGAGGGCCCUGAUUUUCUCUGAGAUCCCAUGCCCCCUCACUCAUUUCCCUUCUGUACUCACUCACGCAGCCCCUCCCGUCCUGCAUUGCCCAGACCCCGUGACACUUGGAUCCUUAAGUUGCCCCCAAAACAGGUUCUUGCUCCCUUUUGACACCCUAGUUUUCUGUAUCCCGUCACCUCGCAGACACCCUGUCCCCCCAACUCGCCCUUUUCCCACCAGGAACCUCCUUAAUUUUUUCCCUUGGUGUUUACGGUGAUGGUGCGGCUAGGGAAUUUUAGAUACAAAUAAAUAGGCUAGGUUAUGUGUAUGCAGUAUGUAUG